AUACGGAGGGUCCAAGCGUUAUCCGGAAUCAUUGGGUUUAAAGGGUCCGCAGGCGGUCAAUUAAGUCAGAGGUGAAAGCCCAUCGCUCAACGAUGGAACUGCCUUUGAUACUGGUUGACUUGAGUUAUACGGAAGUAGAUAGAAUAAGUAGUGUAGCGGUGAAAUGCAUAGAUAUUACUUAGAAUACCGAUUGCGAAGGCAGUCUACUACGUAUAUACUGACGCUAAGGGACGAAAGCGUGGGGAGCGAACAGGAUUAGAAACCCCAGUAGUCC
rnacentral:rRNA from 1 species